GCAUACUGGAAAAAGACCAAAUACAAGCCGUCAGGAAAGGCACCAGCACUAAUGUUCGCUGCUCCCACCUGUCAACUGGAAACACUGGUGCUCAACCAGAACUCUUGUUCUCAUUGCAAAUUUUAAAUUAGAUACCUCUAUUUAGCCCUGGAUUCAGAGCUGAGCUUUACUUAUUUUUGUUUCCACUUAAAAAUGAAUUUUUCUUGUCUUUUUGUGGUUGGUUUUUUUUUUUAUUAAUGCCAGCACUUAGAUAAAAUGGAGUGUAAAGCUGAGUUGUAGUUAGAUUUGCUGUUGCAGUUAGAUCUGAUAGGUCCAGAUCAGCUGAAGUGGUCCUGGUUUGGAUUUUUCUUUUCUUUAAAAAGAACAAAGGAUUGUAGUUUCAGCAAACAGCAACUAGAGUGAAGUAUUUUUAAUAGAUGUACCUUAUUACUAUCACAGAGCAAAAGCACUCCCAUUAAAUUCAAAUGCAGAUUCCCCACAGCUUUUUUUAAACACUGGAACAGUUUCAACACUGCAAUUGUGAGAAGUGGAAAGAGGAUGACUUUUCACUAAGUAUAAAGCUAGCACACAAAUAAGUACCAUCUAACUUCUAUUAAUGUCAUUGGGCAACUUAGAGGGUUAAUUUGCUUAACCAACUGAGGUCACUUUUCCUUUUUCUGCAGUCAGUUCAGUUGUCCACACUGACCACUCUGCUUUCAUGCUACUUUCAUACAGACAUAAAGGUCUCUCCUAUUCUCCCAGUCUGUAGGUAUCUGUAGUGAUACUGACACUGCUGCUACCACUAUCAUGCAGGUUACAACAUGCAUGCAUGGCUGCUUACAGAUGCUGUGACACUUCCUUGAGGACAGAUACAACCAAGGUAUAAAUUAUUAUUUCUGGGAUAAUAGGUGUGCAGGAAGUUUCAGCUCUAAAUGCCAAAAUGCAAAUCACCCAUGCUGGGAACAGGGUGCUAGGAAUACUGGGACAGAAACUUGACCUUCUUCUGGAGGAGUUUGGUUUAUAAGCCAUAAAGAGUUAACGUGAGCCUUCACUUACAGUGUCUGCCCCUGCUGCUUAAUCCUGUGCUAAUGGCUUUCUUGCAGGGUGCUGAGGUGGAACAAGGCAUCCUCCUGAAAAUGCAUGGUCUGCUGUGCCCUGAUGCCCUGCUGCGUAAUGCAGCCACCCAGGUAUGUGUAUGCUUCCAGUCCCACUGGCCUGCUGGAAUUUCCCAUGUUCAUAGCCCUGUUAACACUUCAAUCAUACGAGGUGUUGAAGAUCAGCUCCAAGCCUAACCUCAUUAACAAAACCAGUAAGAAUCUACAAGCUGCUGAUUGAGUGAAACCUGAUGUCUAUGGGAAAGUGACCAGAGAUGACUAAAGAAGGGAGAGUGUAAAAACAAGACGAGCAAAUAGUGGUGGCUUUCCCUUCAUUCUGAGAAGGACCUGCUUUUGUGUGCUUCCUAACCCAUUGCUGUGGGUUUCAUCUGGUAAGGAGCCCUACCAGUGAUGGAAGACCAUCAACAGCAAAAACUGACUUGCUGUCUUCAUACUGCUUGGCAAAGGUCACUGAUCUUUACUAUACCCCUCAAAAGCCUGCUCCAUCUCUCCCUGUGUAGAGGUUAUAUGAUACCCUUGAGCUACGUGGCCUGUGCACCUUUUCCACCCCUACUGUGUCCUUGAGACUGGCAGCCAGGGCUGUGCACAGUGCUAACAGUGCAGGUGUGCCACUAAUGCCUGGGCUGGCAUGACUGUUUUAUGCUUUUUCAUUGCCUUUCUCAUCAUUUCUAGAAUUCCAAGCUGGAAAGUAUUACGUGCUUGUUUUCACAGUUUAGUUUUAGUUCAUGGUUUAGCACUGUAUUCUCUUUCUAAGAGGACAUUAUCAGCUUGGAACUAGUCACUACAUACAAGACCUAGCAUGCCUUGUUUUUGCCAUGAAUGUCACUCUGCGUGUGCUGCUCUGAGCUUCACUUUGAUAGGAUAGCUGUCUGAGUGUCCUAAAGCAUUUGGAAAACAUCAGUUAAGCUUGCAAGUGCUCAGCAGAGGUAGGUCAGUAUUAUCAACCCUGUAAAUGAAGGCAGGCAAGAACACAGGAUUAAAGUAACUUUUCUGAAGCCACGUGUGAAAUCAGUGGCAGAGCUAGGAAUAGACUGCCAAGUCCAAACCCCUCCUGCUCUAGCCAGCAGACUCUCCAUCUAGUAUACAAGCAGCUUGAGAUACAAGUAAUGCUUCUGGAAAGAAGAGGUCUGCCUGCUCGUGUAUGUGUGUUAGCAGUGUUCAGGGACCCAGCUAGGACUGAGACUCUUUUGUGCUUUUCCCUCCUCCAGUGCUUCAAAACAUCUGUCCCUGCUUUUAAGAUCCCUCCAGCCUCCCAAAGCAUUCACUGCAGCUUGGGCACAGAUGCUCAGCCUAGUCUAGGACCUCAACCAUGGUGAGGUCCAGCCCAGACAACAGCGAGCCUCCAUGCUUCCCCCAGCCUCACACAGGUGAAGAAACCGGUUCAUGCCACAGCCAGCUGCCCAGCAGAAACCACUUACAAACUGCACUCUGCCAGCAGUGCUGGGUCUGCUGCUACUGCUCACCUGGGAAAGGACCAGUGAAUGUCCUGUCAUUUCAUAUAGAGCAUGUGAGCUCUGUGCAUAUGUGCACACAGCAUGAUGUAAGCAGACACCUGUGUGUAAUGGAUAUCUAUUCAAUUAAAACCAAAACAAACUGCAUUUUUAUCAACCUCCCUCCCCCUUUACUAGAGUCUGUAGUGUUGAAAAUAGGAAGUGUGAUCUUACUUAGGUUUAGUAGAUCUGCUUAAAAUCCUUAAAAUGACAUAGGUUUUUUAAAUUAAAGCUCUUAAGAGGCCAUAGAGGCAGCACUGGACAAUAUACAAGAGUAAGUUUGGAUACAAUAACAUGAACAUGCAAUUUCUGUUUGCAGUUGUUUGCUUACAUGGGAAACCUGUCAUGCUUUCUCUUGAACUAAUGGUGUAGCAGCAGUGGUCUAGGGACGUAGGGUGGUUCUGGCUACUUCCUACUACCUGUCUAAAGAAAAUUACAAAAAGUGAUUAUUUAAGACUUGUUAGCUUAUAUACAGUCUUACUGUGCCUUCUACUUUAAAAUACAAAGUGUUGGUCAUGAGAUGCAGAAAGACUUUUCCACAAACCAAAGUGUAAGAGUACAGUAUAAUGAAUUUACUGGAUUCACUUUUCUUCAAAAGGACCAGAAUCACCUGGAAACUCAGAAACAUGGCAGUAGCUCCAGUUAGAGAUGGCUGUGAUUUUGGAAGACUCUUCACACAAGGUAUCUCUCCCAGCUUCCAAGAUGCAGAGCAUCACCACUCCGAGGAAAGCUGGUAAGAAUGGGGUUUCAAUCCCUGAAAAAGCCCCAUGUACUGAGAUUUUUUUUUAGUGUAUGCAGUAACUAGAAAAGUAAUUUCCUUUAAGUAAAACUUAUUGUUAGGUUGAAUUAAUCACAACAGUGAGAAUUCACUGGUAUACUUAUGCAGGAGGUUUGGGGUUUCUUGGGGGGGGUCGGGUGGUAUUUUUUUAUUUCCCCAUCAUACACUGCUAAAUGCCAUCCAUACAGCUGCCCAGUUGGGCUGCUCCCAGGGCAUAAACAAACACUGGAUUUGCUAUUGGAUAUUCUUUCCUUAGUGCUGGGCUAGGUUUUGCCUCUGUAUGUUGGAGCCAAGUUCUAGUUCCCUGAAACGCAAGCAGUAACUGCCUGCUGCUUUACACAGGGCAGAUGAGGAGUGCUGGUCCCAUGUCAUGCCAAGAUCACUCAAGCAUGAACACCUUUGUCAAGCCCCACCGUAACAGGCUAGCAAAACAUGGCAGGGCACGGAUCUCAGCUUAAUGCUCAUGGUUACAUGAGGACUGCAGUUCUGCUGGUGACAACGGAGAACACUCACAACUCUGUUUCCUCACAGACUUUGGAUGAAGUGGUUAACUUGAGAAACACCUCCCACCCCACGCCGCUCAGUUAGCCAGGCCAUGGUUCCAAGUUUAGCAGCUAAUGAUCACAGCGUACCUCACACAACUGCUGUGAAAAUGGAUUCUGGUGUCUGUUCAAGAAGCUUCCACUUCAUAAGAUUUAUUUUCUUUUGUAGUCCAUAUAGGACAAACCCCCCAAAGUUACAGAAGGAUCUAUGUCCGAAUUAAGUCAGCUUCAUCAUUAGAGGGCACGUCUAUAUUAUUUUCCACUUGAACUUCUUUAAAAGAUGAAAGAAAACAAUUAAUUCCUUUUGGCACUCAUUAAUUAGGAGUUUGAGUGUGUUUGAUGUGCAUUUUAUCUUCUGCAGAUCGCUUACAGCACUAACAGGCAUUUUAUACUUUCAGUAACUCUGCUGUGACUUUAAGAUAUAAAUCCUCCUGUAGAUUUUUUUCCAGAAGCCCUAUAAAGCACAGAGAUGCAAUAACUUGUAAUUCUUUCUUGAAAAAUAUUAAGAGGAAUAACCCUCAAAGCAGCUAUAGCCACAGGCAACACCAACUCUGCAAUUUCUGUUGGCUCUGUCCUAUCUUGGUCCUACUUAUUUCAAGCACCAUUCACAGUUGUCUCUAGAAGUGCAGGGAUCUCCUUUGGACAGACCAGCUCCUCUAUUUGUUCUUUGACAUUUUCUGGAGCUCUGACUUUUCCCCUCUCUCUCUGAAAGCUUAUAUCAGGUUCCUUUAAUGUGGUGAAACCCCCAGGUGAGUCAGACCAGGGCCAGGCCCCAGCGAGUUGCUACAUGCUGCUGCAGAAUGGGGCGGUUCUUCCUGAAACCCCUUCUGCUGCUGCAGCACCCGAUGGAUGCCCACUGCUGAGGGACAUGGUGGGUCAUGUCCCUGCCAGCUGCGUGUGACCUACAUAACACUGACUGAGAAUUACAGCCCUGACAGCAUGUUGCUGUUUCUGGGCCCAAAAAGUAAGAGUGAAAAGCAUUAAUGUGUGCUAAUUUCACUUUGCAGCUCUUGGGAACAGUGAAAGCAGCAGAGCAGGAAUUGCUCACAGCAGAAAAAAUCCACAUAAAAGAGAGGGCGUGUGAGGGAAGAGGAGGAGAGACUUUUUUACACCUCUGUGAAGAGCUUCUGGGUGCCCAGUGAACGAGGGGUGGAGAACUUGCGAGCGGAUGCUGGAGCGCAGGGAGGAUGCAUGCUCCCGCGUGGGUUGUACCACAGCCAGGUCUGGGAUGUGGGGCUCCGCAAGUGUCAUGUUUUUGGGGCCGUGGUCUGAGCUAGGCAACUCACAGGCGCAGCUGUGACCACCGCAGCGUGCCACGGGGGAACCUGGCAUCCUGCUGGCAGUGCUGCCUGGCUGCCCCGCACAUACAGCUGCUGCCACCCCUGCCUGCACUGGCAUCUCACUGGGCAGCAGCAAGGUACAGCGCACUGACCACUGCUGGGUCAAAGUCACUCUCCAGCUAUACCAGCUGUUAACUCACUUACAGGUGCUGUACCAAGAAACUGAACCAAGUCCCAAGCCUGGAGUCCAUAGCCUCCUGCCUGUCGUGGCUUCCAAGAUGCUGUCCAGCACAGCAUAAAGCACGUGCUGCUCCUCGGGUUAUUGCAGAGACCACCAAAACACUACCAGGUCAGAGCCAAACCUCUCCCAGUCCAUAACCAAGAUGCUGAUCCCCAGAUCAGACUGGCAUCCUGCAGGCAGGAGAGCUGUGGCUCGCAACAGUGAAGGGUUGUGAGGACUCUGGUCUGUUUCAUUUAAGACAAGCGGGGAACACCAGCCACCACAGAUGAGACCGACCCACUGCACCUCUGUUCAGCAGAGAGGACCUGUGUCCCACCACCUCGCGCCAUCUGUUACUGCCACCUCCCACUUAAGGGUGAGCAGUAAAACAGCCCCACGCUGCUUCCCUGCAACCCUCUGUGGGAAGGGCAGGGGCUGGUAGGCUGUCAGACGUUGACCAGGACGGCAGAUAUGUACAUCCAGGCAAUGCUGAGCAAGUUGUUUUUAUGCCUUCCUGGAGCCUCUCAAUGCUUGUACCUCUGUAGUACCAAAAGCACUACAGCAGGAUGUCAGGUUCCCCCAUGGCACGCUGCGGUGGUCACAGCUGCACCUCAAUGAAGGUGAGACACAAACCCACCGGGAAAUUCUCCACGGUCUGCUCUCCCCUCCUCCGUCCCUUCAGCAUGCAAAUACGAGGCCAGUGCAGACCCAAACGUGACACUGUACCUACCCCAGCUGGUUUGCAGCGUUUCAGAACUGAAAGACUUAGUUAUUCAGCCUGAAAGAGUAUCGCUCCGCCGUUCAAAAGAAAACCACUACGUUUCAAAGCCGUGUUUAUACCAAAACGCAAAACACCCAA